rnacentral:rRNA from 1 species
AAAGCCCUACGGGACGCAGCAGUAGGAAAUUUUCGUCAAUGGGCGCAAGCCUGAACGAGCAAUGCCGCGUGAACGAGGAAGGUCUUCGGAUCGUAAAGUUCUGUUGAAGGGGAAAAAGAGCGGAGAGAGGAAAUGAACUCCGAUUGAUAUUACCCUUCGAGGAAGUCACGGCUAACUACGUGCCAGCAGCCGCGGUAAUACGUAGGUGGCGAGCGUUAUCCGGAAUGAUUGGGCGUAAAGGGUGCGUAGGCGGCCUGCUAAGUCUGGAGUGAAAGGUACCGGCUCAACCGGUACAGGC